rnacentral:rRNA from 1 species
GACGAACGCUGGCGGCGUGCUUAACACAUGCAAGUCGAACGGAAAGGCCCUGCUUUUGUGGGGUGCUCGAGUGGCGAACGGGUGAGUAACACGUGAGUAACCUCCCCUUGACUUUGGGAUAACUUCAGGAAACUGGGGCUAAUACCGGAUAGGAGCUCCUGCUGCACGGUGGGGGUUGGAAAGUUUCGGCGGUUUGGGAUGGACGCGCGGCUUAUCAGCUUGUUGGUGGGGUAGUGGCUUACCAAGGCUUUGACGGGUAGCCGGCCUGAGAGGGUGACCGGCCACAUUGGGACUGAGAUACGGCCCAGACUCCUACGGGAGGCAGCAGUGGGGAAUAUUGCACAAUGGGCGGAAGCCUGAUGCAGCAACGCCGCGUGCGGGAUGACGGCCUUCGGGUUGUAAACCGCUUUCGCCUGUGACGAAGCGUGAGUGACGGUAAUGGGUAAAGAAGCACCGGCUAACUACGUG